rnacentral:rRNA from 2 species
UUAAUUUGAGAGUUUGAUCCUGGCUCAGGACGAACGCUGGCGGCGUGCCUAAUACAUGCAAGUCGAACGAACUCGUGUUUGGUGCUUGCAUCAUGAUUUACAUUUGAGUGAGUGGCGAACUGGUGAGUAACACGUGGGAAACCUGCCCAGAAGCGGGGGAUAACACCUGGAAACAGAUGCUAAUACCGCAUAACAACUUGGACCGCAUGGUCCGAGUUUGAAAGAUGGCUUCGGCUAUCACUUUUGGAUGGUCCCGCGGCGUAUUAGCUAGAUGGUGGGGUAACGGCUCACCAUGGCAAUGAUACGUAGCCGACCUGAGAGGGUAAUCGGCCACAUUGGGACUGAGACACGGCCCAAACUCCUACGGGAGGCAGCAGUAGGGAAUCUUCCACAAUGGACGAAAGUCUGAUGGAGCAACGCCGCGUGAGUGAAGAAGGGUUUCGGCUCGUAAAACUCUGUUGUUAAAGAAGAACAUAUCUGAGAGUAACUGUUCAGGUAUUGACGGUAUUUAACCAGAAAGCCACGGCUAACUACGUGCCAGCAGCCGCGGUAAUACGUAGGUGGCAAGCGUUGUCCGGAUUUAUUGGGCGUAAAGCGAGCGCAGGCGGUUUUUUAAGUCUGAUGUGAAAGCCUUCGGCUCAACCGAAGAAGUGCAUCGGAAACUGGGAAAUGCAGAAGAGGACAGUGGAACUCCAUGUGUAGCGGUGAAAUGCGUAGAUAUAUGGAAGAACACCAGUGGCGAAGGCGGCUGUCUGGUCUGUAACUGACGCUGAGGCUCGAAAGUAUGGGAGCAAACAGGAUUAGAUACCCUGGUAGUCCACCGUAAACGAUGAAUGCUAGACGUCGGGGUGCAUGCCUUCGUGGCAGCUAACGCAUUAAGCAUUCCGCCUGGGGAGUACGGCCGCAAGGCUGAAACUCAAAGGAAUUGACGGGGGCCCGCACAAGCGGUGGAGCAUGUGGUUUAAUUCGAAGCUACGCGAAGAACCUUACCAGGUCUUGACAUACUAUGCAAAUCUAAGAGAUUAGACGUUCCCUUCGGGGACAUGGAUACAGGUGGUGCAUGGUUGUCGUCAGCUCGUGUCGUGAGAUGUUGGGUUAAGUCCCGCAACGAGCGCAACCCUUAUUAUCAGUUGCCAGCAUUAAGUUGGGCACUCUGGUGAGACUGCCGGUGACAAACCGGAGGAAGGUGGGGAUGACGUCAAAUCAUCAUGCCCCUUAUGACCUGGGCUACACACGUGCUACAAUGGAUGGUACAACGAGUUGCGAACUCGCGAGAGUAAGCUAAUCUCUUAAAGCCAUUCUCAGUUCGGAUUGUAGGCUGCAACUCGCCUACAUGAAGUCGGAAUCGCUAGUAAUCGCGGAUCAGCAUGCCGCGGUGAAUACGUUCCCGGGCCUUGUACACACCGCCCGUCACACCAUGAGAGUUUGUAACACCCAAAGUCGGUGGGGUAACCUUUUAGGAACCAGCCGCCUAAGGUGGGACAGAUGAUUAGGGUGAAGUCGUAACAAGGUAGCCGUAGGAGAACCUGCGGCUGGAUCACCUCCUUUCUAAGGAA